UACGGGGGGGCAAGCGUUGUUCGGAAUUACUGGGCGUAAAGGGCUCGUAGGCGGCCAACUAAGUCAGACGUGAAAUCCCUCGGCUUAACCGGGGAACUGCGUCUGAUACUGGAUGGCUUGAGAUUGGGAGAGGGAUGCGGAAUUCCAGGUGUAGCGGUGAAAUGCGUAGAUAUCUGGAGGAACACCGGUGGCGAAGGCGGCAUCCUGGACCAACACUGACGCUGAGGAGCGAAAGCCAGGGGAGCAAACGGG
rnacentral:rRNA from 1 species